AUUGAACGCUGGCGGCAUGCUUUACACAUGCAAGUCGAACGGCAGCGCGGGCUUCGGCCUGGCGGCGAGUGGCGAACGGGUGAGUAAUACAUCGGAAAGUGCCCAGUAGUGGGGGAUAGCUCGGCGAAAGCCGGAUUAAUACCUCAUACGACCUGAGGGGGAAAGCGGGGGAUCUUCGGACCUCGCGCUAUUGGAGCGGCCGAUGGCAGAUUAGCUAGUUGGUGGGGUAAAGGCCUAUCAAGGCGACGAUCUGUAGCUGGUCUGAGAGGACGACCAGCCACACUGGGACUGCGACACGGCCCAGACUCCUACGGGAGGCAGCAGUGGGGAAUUUUGGACAAUGGGCGAAAGCCUGAUCCAGCAAUGCCGCGUGUGUGAUGAAGGCCUUCGGGUUGUAAAGCACUUUUGGCGGGAACGAAAAGGACUGUGCCAAUACCACGGUUCGAUGACGGUACCCGCAGAAUAAGCACCGGCUAACUACGUG
rnacentral:rRNA from 1 species